CUAGUAUUUCCACAGGGCUUCCUCUAGAUGGUGGGGACAGGAUUGAUAGCAGGUGCCAAGAAAACUCUUGAUUGCACCCUUGGCCUGGUACUGUACCAAUGGCAGCUUCAUGCAGUGGGACAGAG
rnacentral:snoRNA from 1 species